ACUAGCAACAUCUCCAAGGUAAGGUUAUCAAUGUAAAUGCACGUUAUUUUAAUUAUUUUGCCAAAAUUAAGCACGCCAUUGUUAUUUCCGCUUUGCUGAAGUCAGGCACGCUCAACACAUCCGAACAUUCACGUUCGCUAGAAGUCCACGUGUUCGAACGCAGUCAUGUGUUCGAGCAAACAACGUGGCCUUGACUUUAACCAAUGUAUUCUCGGAAAUAUUCAUUUUGUUUAGUUAUCAGUAAGGAUAUACGGGUGCCAGCCAUAUGUAUGGACAAGUUAUAUUGGUUAGAUAUUUAUAAUUGUUAACUUACUACACAGGGGGGUCCAGGGGGGCGAAGCCCCCCGGCCAGGUAAGGGCACGCGGCCUAAGUUUGGUUAGGUUGGUUCGUUUGGUUACGAUCACCGGAGCUCCUACAGUUUAGUUGGAACAGGAGCUCCUACAGUUUAGUUGGAACAGGAGCUCCUACAGUUUAGUUGGAACGGGAGCUCAUACAGUUUAGUUGGCCACUGGUUUUUUUUGCUAGGGUUUCGUGGUUUUUAGUGUUCAUUGCCGUCGUUUGGUUAGCCUAACACAACGGGGGACGGGACCUCCUACAUUUUUGUUGGUACGUGAGCUCCUA